AUUGAUUCUAUCGUGCAAACACCGUGAACUUACUUAUGCCCUCUCAUGAUGGGCAGCUCCCUUCAAGGAGUUGCCUUUGUGAGUGCGCAGGUCAGGGGUUGGCUCCUUUUGGUGUCAAUUGACUUGGCUGGGCGGGUCCAAUAUCAGUUGGGACCUUUUUGCCUUUCAGGCUUAAAGGUUUACCGGUUGUGAGGGGUGGCUUUCAACAACUUCAAAACAUUUAUUCUGAAGGCAGUUCUACUGGCUGGCUUGCUGGCUGUAGGCUGAUUAAUUACAGACAACUCUCAACAACGGAUAUCUUGGCUCCCGUAACGAUGAAGAACGCAGCGAAAUGCGAUACGUAGUGUGAAUUGCAGAAUUCCGUGAACCAUCGAAUCUUUGAACGCAAAUUGCGCUCGAGGCUUCGGCCAAGAGCAUGUCUGCCUCAGCGUCGGCUACUACCCUCAACUAAAUUUCAUUGGUGAAUUCCGGUGAAAGGCARUAGGAUCUGGCCGUCCGGUUUGCCCUUUGGGUGGCCGGUCAGCUGAAAUAUAUUCACGCUUUGGGAGCCUCUUUCCUCUCRAGGAAAGGCGAGUUCCGAUUUGGUAGGUGACCUUUGCCGGUUGCAUGCCUUCSUUGCCCGCUGUGCUCCCGGAUGCGUUGUGCAGGACGCC
rnacentral:rRNA from 1 species